rnacentral:rRNA from 1 species
UACGUAGGCAGCAAGCGUUGUUCGGAGUUACUGGGCGUAAAGGGUGUGUAGGCGGUUCUUUAAGUUUGCUGUGAAAUCUCCCGGCUUAACCGGGAGGGUGCGGUGAAUACUGAGGGACUAGAGUACGGGAGAGGAAAGUGGAAUUCCUGGUGUAGCGGUGAAAUGCGUAGAUAUCAGGAGGAACACCGGUGGUGUAGACGGCUUUCUGGACCGUAACUGACGCUGAGACACGAAAGCGUGGGUAGCAAACGGG